AUGGUGGUGCGGGUCUUCGGGUAUGGGUCCCUGAUCUGGAACCUCGGCUUCGAUUUCGACGAGAAGAUCCUGGGAUUCAUCAAGGGCUGCAAGCGAACGUUUAAUCUCGCACCUAGAGUCGCGCGGCGACGUCACCGUCCUCCUCUUCCACAUCGUCCUCGGCUGCAAGUUCAUCGCCUCUCAACGAGACCGGCAAAGCCAAGCUCAUCGGCCUCUCAGUUCAGAGCAACGUCCAGGCAAGCCGUUCGUCCUGUUUCCUCUCUUCAUCACAGUUGCUCUUCCGUGAGAAUGGUGCUAUGA
rnacentral:rRNA from 1 species